GACGACGCUGGCGGCGUGCCUAAUACAUGCAAGUCGAACGAGUGGCGGACGGGUGCGUAAAACGUGGGAACCUACCCAUCAGAGGGGGAUAACCCUUGGCAACUGGUGCUAAUACCGCCUACGGAUGGAGCGACCCGCGGGGCAGUAGCCAGUUGGUGAGGUAACGGCUCACCAAGGCCACGAGGCUGAGCCGACCUGAUAGGGUGAUCGGCGACACUGUGACUGAGACACGGUCCAGACUCCGACGGGAGGCAGCAGUGGGGAAUAUUGCACAAUGGGCGCAAGCCUGAUGCAGCCAUGCCGCGGGUAUGAAGAAGGCCUUCGGGUUGUAAAGUACUUUCAGCGGGGAGGCGUUACCCGCAGAAGAAGCACCGGCUAACUCCGUGCCAGCAGCGGCGGUAAUAC
rnacentral:rRNA from 1 species